ensembl:lncRNA
CCAGUGUGUGGGGGUAGAGUCCAGUUUGUUGGGUAGAGUCCAGUGUGUGGGUAGAGUCCAGUGUGUAGAUAGAGUCCAGUGUGUGGGUAGAGUCUAGUGUGUAUGUAGAGUCCAGUGUGUUGGGUCGAGUCCAGUGUGUUGGGUCGAGUCCAGUGUGUGGGUAGAGUCCAGUGAGUUGGAUAGAUUCCAGUGUGUUGGGUAGAGUCCAGUGUGUGGGUAGAGUCCAGUGUGUGGGUAGAGCCCAGUGUGUUGGGUAGAGUCCAGUGUGUUGGGUAGAGUCCAGUGUGUUGGGUAGAGUCCAGUGUGUUGGGUAGAGUCCAGUGUGUUGGGUAGAG